UUAGCGCUUUCACAGGUCCUCCCCCAGGCCACGGGGCCAGGAUUUGGUAGCUGCUGCUGAAAGAAAACCCUUGAGUCUUGCCCUGGGACUCUGCCAGUGGCAGCUGUCACUCAGUGGCACAGAG